UUUCCGGUUGAUCCUGCCGGACCCGACUGCUAUCAGAGUGGGCUUAAGCCAUGCGAGUCAACGUAGUAAUACGUGGCAUACGGCUCAGUAACACGUAGUCAACAUGCCCAAGGGAUGUGAAUAACCUCGGGAAACUGAGGAUAAAUCGCAAUAGGCCAUGAAUACUGGAAUGGUUCAUGACCGAAAUCUAUAUGGCCCUUGGAUUGGACUGCGGCCGAUCAGGCUGUUGGUGAGGUAAUGGCCUACCAAACCUAUAACCGGUACGGGCUCUGAGAGGAGGAGCCCGGAGAUGGGCACUGAGACAAGGGCCCAGGUCCUAUGGGGCGCAGCAGGCGCGAAACCUCUGCAAUAGGCGAAAGCCUGACAGGGUUACUCUGAGUGGUUUCCGAUAAGGAGAUCUUUUGGCACCUCUAAAAACGGUGCAGAAUAAGGGGUGGGCAAGUCUGGUGUCAGCCGCCGCGGUAAUACCAGCACCCCGAGUGGUCGGGACGAUUAUUGGGCCUAAAGCAUCCGUAGCCGGUCCAGCAAGUCCUCCGUUAAAUCCACCUGCUUAACAGAUGGGCUGCGGGGGAUACUACUGGGCUAGGAGGCGGGAGAGGC
rnacentral:rRNA from 1 species